GCCGAAGUGGUGGAAUUGGUAGACACACCAUCUUGAGGGGGUGGCGGGGAAACCCGUGGGGGUUCGAGUCCCCCCUUCGGCA
rnacentral:tRNA from 1 species